GGUUCCUUAUACAAACCUGGUCUUCCAGAAGUGGGCAAAUUAGACGUGGAUGUGUUCUGUGGAGACAAGACUUUUGUGGUUCACAGAAAGGACAAAGGAAUUCCUGAAAACUUUACAGACAAGGUUCAAAUAGCCAAGCGGAAAGUACCAGUAUACGAUGCUCUUCAUUACAACUCUAUCCAUUUUGCUCUGGAGCUGCUGGAGGUCGAAUCAGAGACCAUAAAGGAUUUCAUUGACAGAAGUUUGGAAAUAAUUGAAAACUAAUCUACAGAAAUGUUUCUGUAGGUUCUGUAGGUGGACGAUUUUAUUGCAUCUCAUGUAAAAAUUGCAGUAGCAGUUCUACAGAAUUCACGUCUCAAUGAGAGAAAAAGCUCAGCUUUAGUAACUCAUCCUGCUGUUGUAAUAAUAAGAU